rnacentral:lncRNA from 1 species
GUUCAUCAAUCAUUGUUGUUUGGUAUCUCGAAUCUCAACAUUAUGUUAGUAUUUUUUUGCUAUUUUAUUUUUUCUUAUAAUGUUCUUGAAUUUAUAUUUUUAUUUGUUCAUAUUAAUAAUUUUAUUUUUUACUCUUUACUUGUUACAAUGAAAUUAUUUAGAACUCAUAAAAUUGAUUACAAUUGUCCGCAAUCCUCUAUUAUUUGAUCCUCAAUUACUAAUCGUGCAAAUUACAUCAUAUCAGUCUAAAUUAGUCUAAAUUUAAUGGAGAGGUCUUAUUUUUUAAAAAUUACAACCGUUCAAAACUAAUUUUAACGACUCAAUCUUCAACUGGCUUGGAAGAAUUAAGCUAAUGAGUCAAAAAA